rnacentral:rRNA from 1 species
UAGGGAAUCUUCGGCAAUGGGGGGAACCCUGACCGAGCAACGCCGCGUGAGUGAAGAAGGUUUUCGGAUCGUAAAGCUCUGUUGUUAAGGAAGAACGAGUGUGAGAAUGGAAAGUUCAUACUGUGACGGUACUUAACCAGAAAGGCACGGCUAACUACGUGCCAGCAGCCGCGGUAAUACGUAGGUCCCGAGCGUUGUCCGGAUUUAUUGGGCGUAAAGCGAUCGCAGGCGGUUAGAUAAGUCUGAAGUUAAAGGCAGUGGCUCAACCAUUGUAGGCUUUGGAAACUGUCUAACUUGAGUGCGAAAGGGGAGAGUGGAAUUCCAUGUGUAGCGGUGAAAUGCGUAGAUAUAUGGAGGAACACCGGUGGCGGAAGCGGCUCUCUGGUCUGAAACUGACGCUGAGGCUCGAAAGCGUGGGGAGCGAACAGG